AGUAUUGCGUGGGAAAAAGAUCCAGUUACUUUGAUGUUGUAAAGAUUGAAUGAAUAGUUCCAAUACUUU
rnacentral:tRNA from 1 species